UACGAGGGGGGGCAAGCGUUGUUCGGAAUUAUUGGGCGUAAAGAGCUCGUAGGCGGUUCGUCGCGUCUGCUGUGAAAACCCGAGGCUCAACCUCGGGCCUGCAGUGGGUACGGGCAGACUAGAGUGCGGUAGGGGGAGAUUGGAAUUCCUGGUGUAGCGGUGGAAUGCGCAGAUAUCAGGAGGAACACCGAUGGCGAAGGCAGAUCUC
rnacentral:rRNA from 1 species